AACGAACGCUGGCGGCAUGCCUUACACAUGCAAGUCGAACGAGACCUUCGGGUCUAGUGGCGCACGGGUGCGUAACGCGUGGGAACCUGCCCUUAGGUUCGGAAUAACUCCCCGAAAGGGGUGCUAAUACCGGAUAAUGUCUUCGGACCAAAGAUUUAUCGCCUUUGGAUGGGCCCGCGUUGGAUUAGCUAGUUGGUAGGGUAAAAGCCUACCAAGGCGACGAUCCAUAGCUGGUCUGAGAGGAUGAUCAGCCACACUGGGACUGAGACACGGCCCAGACUACUACGGGAGGCAGCAGUGGGGAAUAUUGGACAAUGGGCGAAAGCCUGAUCCAGCAAUGCCGCGUGAGUGAUGAAGGCCUUAGGGUUGUAAAGCUCUUUUACCCGGGAUGAUAAUGACAGUACCGGGAGAAUAAGCUCCGGCUAACUCCGUG
rnacentral:rRNA from 1 species